rnacentral:lncRNA from 12 species
CUGGACAAGAGCCCAAAGGGCAUGGAUCCCAUGCAAAGAAGGAACACAGAAGCUGCUGUCCUGCUGAGCCAACAGCAGCAGUUGCAAGUGUUCCUCGAUGCAUGCCUUGGUGAGCUGAGCAGGAGUCUGCUGUACAUUGCACAGGACACGUCCUAACUUUCUUGAUAUGGGCAGUGACCAAAGAAGCUCCAGAGCUCUGCUAAGAUGGAUUUGUGAGAUCUUCCACCAGCAACAUUAUCUGCCACCAGCAGCAACAUGCUGAUGUGAUGUAUUUUGGAGGAAACUUUGUGGAUGCUGGAAGUCAUCAUUCAGUGAAGAAAGAUGUGAAGUUCUUACUGAAGUUCAG